UGACCUCUAUUUUCCCAGGAACAUAUAGGCCCUCCCUAACAGAACAUCAGCUAAAGCUGCCAUGGUCUAGUCUGAACUAACUAGUAUUCCCAGCUCAGCAACAGGCUGAAAACAAAGCAGCCCAGGCCUCCAAGGGGUAUUUGCAUGUCAUACAAAGGAAUUGUUGUAAGGGAGCACAACAGAGGGUGGAGGUGAAAGCUUCGGGGCAGACUGCCUGUUGAAACCUCUGGGCACAAAGACACAUCAUUCAGGCCAGAGUAGUGUGUCAGAAGCCACCACCAUCUGGCAGGUGUGAGGUUUCUGACCCUCAGAAAUGUUGUAAAGUAGCCAAAACAAACAAAAGAGAAACCCAUAUUGUGAAGCUGUCAACAUCCUGUCCAGCGCCAUAAUUUGGCUGUCUGGUCUGGGGAGUACAAUGAAGGCUCUCUCAUUGCCUUCUCCCACAGCCAUCAGGCCUACACACCCUUCCUGGCUUCCUCAUUCCACAAACUAAUCUUGGGCUUCCACAAGAGAGGGGACUUUGGAGACAAGCUGGAGGUGAUGAAGGUGUGGCUUGGAUCUGGAGAAUGGGGGCAAAAAUGGGCUUUGUUCAGGGGCUUCCCAAACUGGGGUACACAUACCCUCAAGGAGUACAACAGGCUUCUCUAAAAGCAUGGGGAAUAUCUACAAUUUUCAAAUCCUAAAAGCAGCAAGUGAAAAUGGGGACAGGAAGAAGAGGAAGGCUGCCUUCAUAACUUAAUGGAAGAAAUAAGGAU